UGACAGAAAGAUGAUACUGAAGUCUUAUUAUAUGCAAACAUGUGACAUUCAUUAAUGAUAAUGCACAACAACGGUGCUGUUAUUGCACCUCUAAGCAGGAAAAUUAUAUCCUUCAGUGAGAUUGAGCAUGAGAACACUUUCGCCUGAUAACCAACAAAGUGCUAUGACUAUCACUUUGAUUGAUAGUUCAUACAAUAACAUAAUUAAGCAAAUAACCGAAAAUGACUA
rnacentral:lncRNA from 1 species